rnacentral:rRNA from 1 species
UACGUAGGGACCAAGCGUUGUUCGGAUUUACUGGGCGUAAAGGGCGCGUAGGCGGCGUGACAAGUCACUUGUGAAAUCUCCGGGCUUAACUCGGAACGGUCAAGUGAUACUGUUGUGCUAGAGUACAGAAGGGGCAAUCGGAAUUCUUGGUGUAGCGGUGAAAUGCGUAGAUAUCAGGAAGAACACCCGUGGCGAAAGCGGCUCUCUGGAACGGUACUGACGCUGAGACGCGAAAGCGUGGGGAGCGAACAGG